GCCUUCGUUGUGUAGUGGUCAGCACACUCGACACGUAACCCGAGAGGUCCGGGGUUCGAUUCCCGGCAAAGGCG
rnacentral:tRNA from 1 species